rnacentral:sRNA from 1 species
CACAAAUCAAAAUACCAUACACAAGAAAUUUAUCCAAUAAUUUCUCAUACUUCUCACGUAUACCAAUAUUAUUAUUAUUAUUAUUUAAAUAACCGACACUGUGAAACAACCGGUAGUAACAAUCGAAACUGUUGCUACAGUGAAAAUGUUUGGUUAUAACUAGAGUAUUCCUUCGCGUUGAGCGACACUUGAGUCUCAUAAUGGAGCGUGAGUUUGCUCUCCUUGAGUGUCCUUCGAGAGUGUCCUAAUUUUGUGAGGAGCCUCUCUCUCUAAGUGUGCCUUUUGUUUUCGCAUUCUUGUAAGUGUUUCAUCCUCUCAAUCUUUCGUUUUGUUCCUUCUUUCCUUUAAGCUUUCUUUUAAUCCAUGUUCUUUUGCAUUUACGUUCGUUCCUUGUUCUUGUUAUACUUGUUUAUUUGUUUUGUUAUUUCACCACUCUUCACUUUUUUUUAUACUAAUAAACUAAUAAUGGGGUAUAUAAGCUGGAAAACCGUUGUUAAUCUCCCUUCGUUUGAAGAUAUGAUAGAGGAAUUCGGGUAGAACAAUGCUACGUACCCUAAAAAUUAUUUUAACUUAAACAAAUCAUGGAUAUAAACUUGUUGGACUUAGAUCUAGUAAGAUCCUUUGCGAGGACCGGAGGAUACAUCUAGACUGAACUUCAAACUAGACUAUGGACAAAAUUGAGUUAAAAGAAAACUAAUUGUAUCAACCCUUUUUGACACAAACAUAAUAUUCCUUCACUUUUGUCUCUUAGAAAAAUGAACAAAAAUUUAAAAAAUUUGGAAGUUCAAGACAAGUUGGGAUAUAAAUUUAUGGAGUCCUACUAAAGAACAAGUUGCUCUACUAGAGGCCCUUUUUGCAUAUGGGAUACGAAAUCCAAAUAGAGAGCAAGUGCAGGAGAUUGCAACGAAACUUAAAAUUUAUGGGAAAAUUGGAGAGUAUAGCGUUUAUUAUUGGUUUCAAAAUUAUGGGUAUCGCGAAAAGCAACGAUGCUUGAAGCAAAGCACCACCACCACAUCUUACUCUCCACUACCCCUCUUGCCACCUUUUUAUGAAUGAUCUUGCAUGGAUAGCAUUGUCGGUUCCAGAUUAGGUGACGUUGAAUCUUUUUCCAAUCCCUCACAUUCCUGAUAAAAGAGAAAUUUCUCCUCCCCUAUUGUUCCAGGUGAAAGCUCCUUCCAUUGAGCUUUCCUUACGAUUGCCUUCCGCCAAAGAAUAGUCUCCUCGAGAAGACUACAAUUGUCUUUAUUUAUUUAUAUUACUAUGGAUUGUAAUCUUUAACAACCACUUGUGAUCGACUUUUGAAC